rnacentral:misc_RNA from 2 species
ACCGAGUGAGGGCCCUCUGGGUCCAACCUCCCACCCGUGUUUAACGAACCUUGUUGCUUCGGCGGGCCCGCCUCACGGCCGCCGGGGGGCAUCCGCCCCCGGGCCCGCGCCCGCCGAAGACACCUGUGAACACUGUCUGAAGUUGCAGUCUGAGAAACUAGCUAAAUUAGUUAAAACUUUCAACAACGGAUCUCUUGGUUCCGGCAUCGAUGAAGAACGCAGCGAAAUGCGAUAAAUAAUGUGAAUUGCAGAAUUCAGUGAAUCAUCGAGUCUUUGAACGCACAUUGCGCCCUCUGGUAUUCCGGAGGGCAUGCCUGUCCGAGCGUCAUUGCUGCCCUCAAGCACGGCUUGUGUGUUGGGCCCCCGUCCCCCCCACCGGGGGGACGGGCCCGAAAGGCAGCGGCGGCACCGCGUCCGGUCCUCGAGCGUAUGGGGCUCUGUCACCCGCUCUUGUAGGCCCGGCCGGCGCCAGCCGACCCCCCUCAAUCUAUUUUUUCAGGUUGACCUCGGAUCAGGUAGGGAUACCCGCUGAACUUAAGCAUAUCAAUAA